GUCAACAACUGGAUUCCUAUUUUCACUGGCUUGGCCAAGUCAUAUUUCUGCCAUGAAGUCAUCUUUUAUCCCUCUUUCAACACUGAUGAAGCAAAUACUGUCUGGAUUUAACACUGUAAGCAAUUAAGACAUUUUAGUAAUAUUGUAAGUCAAACUUUUCUCUCUCAAUUCUGUUUACACAGAGAACACAAGAAAAUUUUUUUUUGAUAUAAUGGCAGCAAGAGCAAACAAUUAAAGCACCAACCACUUUCUAACCUUCACCUUAUAUCAAGAAGCGACUGAACAAAACUUUGCUUAAUGUAUCCGACUGGUCUGUCAUUUUCCAGUACUGCAUAGACACAGCCUUAAAGUUUGACUCCUUUAGUGACAAAGUGUCUCCCACUGAAUUUUAGAACAAUAGUUGCAUUUUCAUAUAAGGCUCACGUGGCAUAAGAAACUAGAGCACAUUAAUAUUUCUAUUCAUCCUGCGGUUUUUGGGAUGACAACAUUUGUAUGGCCCACAAAUAUAACAAAUCGAAGCAACAUUCACCUGUCCUAGUUUACCACUUGAAAUGUAAUUUAAUAUUUGGGUUGGUGAAAGGUGGCUGCUAAUCAAACUACGGAUGUUUUGAAAGUGUAGUCAUGACUAACACAAAAGCAGCAUGUAUGUUUACUUACAGGAGAGUUUAUUAAACACAUCUGGUUUCUAAUGAAUCCUUGCACAAUACUGCUGGUAUGCUUACGGGUCUGGUUAGAUCAAUAGAGAGCCUAGUGUGUUCACAGGAGAAGUUCAGCAUUGAACAGUUCAGAACCCUAAAAAACCUUGAAGGGAAUAGCACAGAACCUCAACUUGUUCUUUUGACUGAUCAAACCACAAGAGAAAGAUCAGAUAUCAUCGUAUAUGUCCGAAAAUCAACUAAGAGCAUAGAGUUACACUGAGACAAGAAUCUCCAAUGGAAGUUAACCUGUUAUAAGUGACCCCUUCAACCAUCACAAGGUGACGUAAAUACUACUGCAGGAUGUUUUCAUCCUCCUCCAUAGCACCUGGUACUGGCCACUAUCAGAGACAAGCCACUGGACUAGAUGGACCAUAAGUCUGAUCCUGUAGAGCAAUUCUUGUAUUUCUUAUAACCAGUACACAGAGUGCCAUA